AUUGAACGCUGGCGGCAGGCCUAACACAUGCAAGUCGAGCGGAAGCAGGGUGAUUGCUCCCGGUUUCGGCGGCGGACGGGCGGAUGAUGCAUGGGUACCUGGCUGGCUGUGGGUGAUAAGGUGCGGAAACAGGCGCUAAUACCGCAUUACCGCAGAGGACGUACGGGGGGAAUCAUCGGACCUUACGACAUUGCGUGAUCCUAGGUCGGAUUAGCUAGUUGGUGGGGUAAAGGCGUAACAAGGCGACGAUCCGUAGCUGGUCUGAGAGGAUGAUCAGACACACUGGAACUGAGACACGGUCCAGACUCCUACGGGAGGCAGCAGUGGGGAAUAUUGGACAAUGGGCGAAAGCCUGAUCCAGCCAUGCCGCGUGUGUGAAGAAGGUCUUCGGAUUGUAAAGCACUUUUGGUUGGGAAGAAGAGCAGUAGGUUAAUACCUUGCUGUUUUGACGUUACCAACAGAAUAAGCACCGGCUAACUUCGUG
rnacentral:rRNA from 1 species